rnacentral:rRNA from 1 species
UACGGAGGGUGCGAGCGUUGUCCGGAAUCACUGGGCGUAAAGGGCGCGUAGGCGGCGCGGGGAGUCAACGGUGAAAGCUCGGCGCUCAACGCCGAGUCGGCCGUCGAUACUCCCCGUGCUCGAGCACUGUAGAGGCAGGUGGAAUUCCGGGUGUAGCGGUGGAAUGCGUAGAGAUCCGGAAGAACACCGGUGGCGAAGGCGGCCUG